UGACUACCCUCCUCCCACCCACCCCCCAUGUCCCUGUUCUGAUGUUUUCUGCAGCCAUGAACAAAGUUUCUUCGGAUCAUAAAUUGUCCCCUGAAGAAAGGCUGAACCCCAGGCCCUCCUCCAGUGCCCUGUUUUUUUUAACCUGUUCCCAGCAGCCGUCCUUACCUGAUCAUUUGCUGGUGGUGGUGAUGGUGCUUCAUAGUCCAAGAAAUCUUCGGUCUGGAACCUGCAAAAAAAAAAUGCACUCAGAUUUGGCCAGUAUAAACCAGUGCUGUGGAUGAGUAAUGGGGUCCCCCGUGGGCUUUAAGAUGUGGCCUUCAACGUGCACUUUGCACAAGACAUACAAUUAGCCCACUAAGCUAAAGUCCAAGGUCCUCAGCUCAGGAAUCUAAUUACAUUCUUACUUCUUCUUUAAAGCUGACUGUACAUUCUGUGGCACAGUGGUGCACAGACGUAGUCUGAAUACCCUCUUGUGUACUGUGUUUUGUUACAGCCAGUCUCUAUGUAAGACCAGGUUGAAGAAAAUGUGUUAAAGAAAGCUGAGUGGCUUGUCCUGUUAAGGCACUUGUAUGUGGAUGGACCCCAUGUUCCAGUACUGAAUUCAGGUCAUUCUAGUGUAGAGAGUGGCCUGCAGCCCCAUCAGGAUGAUGCACAAUUUUCAUCACAGGUGUCAGAUGAUGACUGCUGAUGCCAUCUUUCUGAUGUGUUCCUAUAACAUGCCAGAUGCAUUGGAGGUCAGGCAAUAGUGUCCCAGUUUUCCUCUGUCAGUUCUGGGUCUUCUGCUUCUUCAAUUCCCCCUGGUUUAUGACACUGGCCACCUGGUGAGAGGAAUCAGAAGUUGCGCUGAGGCAA